rnacentral:rRNA from 1 species
GACGAACGCUGGCGGCGUGCUUAACACAUGCAAGUCGAACGGAAAGGCCCUGCUUUUGUGGGGUGCUCGAGUGGCGAACGGGUGAGUAACACGUGAGUAACCUGCCCUUGACUUUGGGAUAACUUCAGGAAACUGGGGCGAAUACCGGAUAGGAGCUCCUGCUGCAUGGUGGGGGUUGGAAAGUUUCGGCGGUUGGGGAUAGACUGGCGGCUUAUCCGCUUGUUGGUGGGGUAGUGGCAUACCAAGGCUUUGAAGGGUAGCCGGCCUUGGAAGUGUGACGGGCACAAUGCGACUGCGAGAGGCAGCAGUAGGGUAUCGUCGGCAGUAGUCGGGAGCAUGACACAACGGGCGGGCGUGUGAGAUGGCAGCGUUCCGUUCGUGAUAAUGGCCUAUUGGUGGUGAACCGCUUUCUCCGGUGAUGAAGCCGUCGUGACGGUAACGGGUCAAGAAGCAACGGCUAACUACGUG